rnacentral:lncRNA from 10 species
AAACCCCAUAAAACCACAACAGUAAUGUUUUCUUAAAACAUUGAAUUGAGUCCCGCUUAACAACUUUGAUAAUAGCAUGAGAUCAGAAAGUCCUUCCUGAAAAUUCCAAGAAUGAAAGCCGUGUGCAUGAGUUUUUGCGGGAGAAUAUUUGCAACAUUUCUGUGAAGUUCUUGAUAGCUAGACUUCCUGGUACAACAUUUAAUUGUAGUCCUUAGUAAACUUUUGUAAUAAUUUAUGUUGAUUUUUCAAUAAUACUUUCAAGUUUUCAAUUUUACUAACUCAGUGGAAUACUACUGUUGGUAUCUAUUGGUCACUUACAAAAAAAAAAAAAACAGUCCGUUGAAUGCAUUUUCUUUCUUUUUUUUCUUUUUUUUGUUUUGUUUUGUUUUAUUUUUUGUUUUUGGAGACGGAAUCUCGCUCUGUCGCCCAAGCUGGAGUGCAGUGGUGCAAUCUCGGCUCACUGCAACCUCCGCCUCCUGGAUUCAAUCGAUUCUCCUGCCUCAGCCUCCUGUGUAGCUGGGACUACAGGUGCCCGCCACCACGCCAGGCUAAUUUUUUAUAUUUUAGUAGAGACAGGGUUUCACCGUGUUGCCCAGGCUGGUCUCAAACUCCUGAACUCAGACAAUCUGCCCACCUCGGCCUCCCAAAGUGCUAGGAUUACAGGUGUGAGCCACCACACCUGGCCUGUAGAAUGCAUUUCAAUGUGCAUAACGCUAAUGAAAAGACUUGCAGUUUUGGUUCAGUUAAUGGCCCAUUGUGAGGACUCUUUAGGUCUGUAUACUUAGGCAUGAUACAUUAUUGCUGUAGGAAGUUAGAGAAGAUGGGAAGCACAGGGCUUCCAUUCUACAGAUAUCCCUAUAUUUUUUGGCGGGGGAUUGACUCCGCAAACCAUAUUUUCUAAACUUUUUCAUAUAUACUUGCUUAUGAAUAUAUUGGAAGCAAGCCUAUAUUUAUUUAUUAUUUUAUUUUAUUAGUUUUUUUUUUUUGAGAUGGCAUCUAACUCACCCUGUCAUCCAGGCUGGAGUGCAGUGGUGCAAUCUUGGCCCACUGCAGCCUCCGCCUCCUGGACUCAAAUGAUUCUCCUGCCUGAGCCUCCUGAGUAGGUGGGAUUACAGGCGUGCACCAUCACACCCAGCUAAUUUUUGUAUUUUUGGUAGAGACAGGGUUUUACCAUGUUGGUCAAGCUGGUCUCGAACUCCUGACCUCAAGGGAUCUGCCCACCUCAGCCUGCCAAAGUGCUGGAAUUACAGGUGUGAGCCACUGCACCCUGCCCCAAGCUAUAUGUACACUGUACCUCAAUAUCCAUAUAUAUAUCCGUGGAGAUAUAUAUAUAUAUAUAUAUCAUCCAUAUAUAUAUAUCAUCCAUAUAUAUAUAUAAAAUCCAUAUAUAUAUAUAUAUCUCCAUGGAGAUAUAUAUAUAUAUGUGUAUGAAUGAAGCACUUAGUAGGAGCUUUUGUGACCCAUUAUUAAGCAAAAUGAAUAAAGUUCAUUAAAAUGAAACUGUAUUUGAUUGCUUUAGAGCUUUGAUUUUUUUUUUUUUUCUUGAACAAAUUCUGCAGAAAAGCUAAGUGGAAUUAUUUACCACUUGGGUUGGAUUUUUGGUUAUCCUUCCUAUUUAAGGCCACACCCAGCAAUCCUAAUAGAGUUGAAUGGCUGUGUUUUUAAAUACGCAGUGAUUCUAUUGGACUCAUGCCAAGCAGCAUCCUGGAUUUUCUGUGCAUCAGUGUCUAUGUGUGGAUUAGCACUGACAUAUUACAUACCAGCCAAU